CGUACACUCCUACGGGAGGCAGCAGUGGGGAAUAUUGGACAAUGGGCGCAAGCCUGAUCCAGCCAUGCCGCGUGAGUGAUGAAGGCCCUAGGGUUGUAAAGCUCUUUCACCGGUGAAGAUAAUGACGGUAACCGGAGAAGAAGCCCCGGCUAACUUCGUGCCAGCAGCCGCGGUAAUACGAAGGGGGCUAGCGUUGUUCGGAUUUACUGGGCGUAAAGCGCACGUAGGCGGACUAUUAAGUCAGGGGUGAAAUCCCGGGGCUCAACCCCGGAACUGCCUUUGAUACUGGUAGUCUUGAGUUCGAGAGAGGUGAGUGGAAUUCCGAGUGUAGAGGUGAAAUUCGUAGAUAUUCGGAGGAACACCAGUGGCGAAGGCGGCUCACUGGCUCGAUACUGACGCUGAGGUGCGAAAGCGUGGGGAGCAAACAGGAUUAGAUACCCGAGUAGUCUCAUG
rnacentral:rRNA from 1 species